rnacentral:rRNA from 1 species
ACGUGAACCUGCGGAAUGAUCAUUG